rnacentral:rRNA from 1 species
GACGAACGCUGGCGGCGUGCUUAACACAUGCAAGUCGAACGGAAAGGCCCUGCUUUUGUGGGGUGCUCGAUUGGCGAACGGGGGAGUAACACGUGAGUAACCUGCCCUUGACUUUGGGAUAACUUCAGGAAACUGGGGCUAAUAUCGGAUAGGAGCUCCUGCUGCAUGGUGGGGGUUGGAAAGUUUCGGCGGUUGGGGAUGGACUCGCGGCUUAUCAGCUUGUUUGUGGGGUAGUGGCUUACCAGGGCUUUGACGGGUAGCCGGCCUGAGAGGGUGACCGGCCACAUUGGGACUGAGAUACGGCCCAGACUCCUACGGGAGGCAGCAGUGGGGAAUAUUGCACAAUGGGCGGAAGCCUGAUGCAGCAACGCCGCGUGCGGGAUGACGGCCUUCGGGUUGUAAACCGCUUUCGCCUGUGACGAAGCGUGAGUGACGGUAAUGGGUAAAGAAGCACCGGCUAACUACGUG